GGCGUCUCCUCCGGCGUGCUCGCCGGGAACAUGCCCACGGCGACCCCGACGCGCGCAGGGUUUCCCGGUGCACAGGGACUCGGAUCUUGGCGACACUGGAUCGAGGUUCGAGACCAUGAUUCACUUUGCCGGACUAAACCCGCUGUUCUACUAUUACGACACCCUCAUCGUGCUACAACCAAGAAUAAGAGUUGCUUGAAUUUCC